CGACCAUUGGCCAUUGCUGGGCAUUGGGAAAGCGUGAGCCUGAUCCGAAUGACAAAACAGCAGGUGGAACUGACCACACAGGAAGUUGUAUAGAAAUGGUUGAAACAGGAAUAGAGGUAGCCAGGAGUUAGCUGUACCUGUUUACUGCUGAGAACAUAUCGUACAUUGUGGAGAAUGGCUCUUGUCCAGUGGCGCUUUACACAACUUCCUCUUCGGCUGGUGACUAGAUGCAAAGAAUUUGUAUCUUGGCUUUUACUUAUCAAACAGACUUUAUUCUACAAUGAAUUUUCAUCCUGCAUGGUGGCAAUAGAAACAGCAGCAGAGCCAUUGUUUUGGACUGUGGAGAAAGUUUUCAAGAUAUUUUGGACCAGAAAUUCCAGAAACAGUUUCUAUAUGCAAGAAGUGCAUUUCUCCGAAGCCUCCGAGAGCUCAUCACUGUAGCAUCUGUAAUAAAUGUGUGCUUAAGAUGGAUCACCAUUGUCCUUGGAUUAAUAACUGUGUGGGAUUCUUUAAUCAUCGAUACUUUUUCCAGUUUUGUGUCUUCAUGCUGUCGGGAACUAUUUAUGUGUGUGUGACAGGACUAGACUUGUUCAAGCAACACUUCUAUGGGGAUAAGUAUUACCCAUUCCCAGCUGUCUUGUAUCCUCUGAACAUGGCCUAUGACAUAGUAUAUGGUGAACCAGAUAAACCAUUUUUUGGGGGCAUAGCAGCAUUUCGAAUCAAUACGUCAUCAGACCAUGAAGUUUUUGAGCACCAAGGUGUUGUUGAAUAUCACAGGCCCGGACAGGAUAUAGAGGUGGACCUGCGGGGUCAGCACUACCACACUGCUGUGGUGUACGAAUUUGUUUUGUGCUCAGCGGUGGUGAUUGCACUCUCCUUGUUAGUAUUGUGGCAUGUAAGAAUGAUCAGCUAUGGAGAAACAAACAUUGAGGUGUAUAUCAACCGUAAGGAAGUGGAUAGAUUGAAAAAGUUAGGGUUGGUUUAUACCAACCCUUAUCACUAUGGCUUUUUGAGAAACUGGCAACAUUUUUUUGGUCUUGGCAAUGGAAGAACGUUUGCAAGGAAUGUGCUUUUCCCUUCGACUCACCUUCCUCCUGGGAAUGGAUUGACAUAUUCCCGUGCCCAAAACAGAAGGGAGAAAGAAAUAGAAAAUAAGGGUCUCAUGUUAUUAUGACAGCGGAAGUGUAACUAAAUGCCCUCUCUUACUGAGGUUUGUAUAUAUAAAAUGACUUGGUAUUUGUGUGCUUAAUUUGUUCAGCAUAUUUUAUUGUUCAAGAAUAUUAAGAAGAUAUGGCAACACCUCAAUUUUAUGACAAGAUUUUAGAUAAACAAUUUCAACAAAUUUUCAUAAUGUUUUUCAACAAUAUUGGAAUCUAAUCUUCACAGCAUAGCUCAAUAGAUUAAAGCAGUAGAUACUGAUAAGCAAAUUGAAACCCUCUGGAGCUAUUAUAUUUUUGGUUUUUUAAAUUUUUUCAAAUGUAUCCUUUGGCAAAUAUAUAAAGGUUUGAAACUUUAAAAUGGUGAUUAUUUUAAAUAUGAAGUUCUAUUAUCCACAUUGAUAUCUCAAAAAGUGUACCAUAUCACUUUAAAUGAUAGAAUGAGCUUUGUGGUAUCACAAACUACAUGGUGCUUGUAUAGUUAUAUAGUUAGUUAGAAAAAAACAUUACAUUUGAUUUUAAUGUUAGAAAUGUAACUUCUAUAUAAAUAUAUUAUUUUUGAAAAAAGUUUUCAGUAUUGACUUUUUAGAUAAAUCCAAAGAUGCUUUUUUUUUCAAAACGUUGCAGAGCUGUCAAUAUAAAUUAUAAAUUUAGAACUGACUUUUAGCCAAUAAAUUACCAAAUGCCUGCACCAGAGUAACUGCUUAUACAUUUGAUAUUUUGAGAUAUGUGAGAUUAUGUCCAUUAGCUAUAAGUGAAUUAUAUCUGAUAAGUAAUAAUUGUGAUAUUAAUCAAAAACCUACUUUCAUUUUCAUCUGUCCUUCUGUAAACUUUUUACAUUUUGAACUUCUUCUCUAAAACCGCUUGGCCAAUUUCAACCAAAUGUGGCACAAAUCUUUCUUAUGGGAAUGCUAAUAUAAACUGCAGAAACGAAAGACCGAUCUUUAUUCAAAGCGGAGAAAACCUCGAAAAUGUAGAAAAAGGGGGUGUAUUUUAAAAAAUCUUCUUAGAACUACGGAGUCAAAUUCAACGUAAUUUAGCAGAACUAAUCCUUAUGGAAAGGCAAAUAUAAAUUGCAAAAAUUAUGGGCUUAUUCUGUUUCAAAUCUGAGUUAUUACUAAAAUAUUAAUAAAGGAAAUGCGUGUUUCAAACUUAGGGUUCGGUAUUCCAUACUUCUAAAAUGGGACGGUGUAAAAGUAGGUUCAUAGUAUGAUAAACGGGUCGAUCUGACAAAGUUGUGCAACAGUUCGCGUGCAAAGGGAAUCUUUGAAACAUGCAAGAUACAUUGGUGCCGAUUUUGUGAAGUAAAUUGAGGUGAAAUAUUUCAAUGCUUUGACAGUUUUCACAUUUGACGGUGGUGUUAUGUUAGCUUGUUUUGAUAUUCGUUCAUUUUCAUAUUAUGUAUGCUUUGUAACCUGGGAAACUAUCGCCUGUACUUUGUAAUUUUUACUAAAUUAAAUAUUAUUUACAUUU
rnacentral:misc_RNA from 1 species